UACGUAGGGUGCAAGCGUUUAUCCGGAUUCACUGGGUUUAAAGGGUGCGUAGGUGGGUCUGUAAGUCCGUGGUGAAAUCUCCGAGCUUAACUUGGAAACUGCCAUGGAUACUAUAGGUCUUGAAUAUUGUGGAGGUCAGCGGAAUAUGUCAUGUAGCGGUGAAAUGCUUAGAUAUGACAUAGAACACCAAUUGCGAAGGCAGCUGGCUACGCAUAUAUUGACACUGAGGCACGAAAGCGUGGGGAUCAAACAGG
rnacentral:rRNA from 1 species